rnacentral:rRNA from 1 species
AUGGCGGCUGGAGGCGAGGCGCUGACGCCUCGCGAGUCGGCGAUGGAAGAGAUGGAUCCGCAGCCCGGCGUUUUUUCCGAAGCAGAGAUCCUGAGGAUGGAGAUUGCGUCCCUGGUGAGCUUGCUCAGGGAGAAGCAGUCUGACGUUCUUUCGCUGGAUCCUGAGACCGUGAGGAAACUCACGUCCCUGACGAGCGAGAUGGCGUGCCAGAAGUCGGCAAGGGAGCGGCAAGCCUUGGUGGUUCCGGAGGUCAAACGCACAGCGCCGCGGAGCAAGAUCUCCAGGAGUAUAUACGAUUGUACCUGCAAUGCUGGUAAACAGAUGGCUGGCCAAUGUGCUGAGGACCAGAGGACCAAGGAGUGUGUGGAGAUGACUCAUCAGGUGGAGCACCAGAGGAGCAAGGAAGAGGCGGAUGAAUCUGUGACAGAUUUGGCAAUGGACCUUUGCAAAUCAAACAUGGAGACGCACCACAUGGCUGCUGAUAGCCAGACGACAGAUGACAAAGAGGAACAUUUUGUGGCAGCAGAUCUGAUAAGUGGUCUUUCCGACCAGAUGACUGUGCGCUGUUAUGAGAACCAGAGUGCUGUGGAGUGCCUGGAGAUGACUGAUCUCACGGUGGGCAAAGGCCAAUCAAGCACGGAGACGCCUGCGUUGAGGAUGAUGGACCAAGGAAAAUCAAGCAGUGAAGGCGAAUCAAGUAACGAAGGCAAAUCAAGCACGGAGACGUGUGCCCUGGCGUCGAGGAUGAUGGACCAAGGCAACUCAAGUAGUGAAGGCCAAUCAAGCACGGAGACGCGUGCGUUUAGGAUGAUGGACCAUGGAAAAUCAAGUAGUGAAGGCCAAUCAAGCACGGAGAUGCAAGUCCAAUCAAGUAACGAAAGCAAAUCAAGCACGGAGACGCAUGCCUCGAGGAUGAUGGACCAAGGCAAAAAAUCAAGCUUUAGGAUGGUGCUGGAUUGCGAUGAGAAUGGUAUGCCCAACUGGUGCAAAUAUUACGAGAUGCUCGAAUGUGAGGAUGUGGAGGAGGAAGAUGAGGAGAUGACUCCGGAGGGUGUAAGGAUGUAUAACAAAUUCCGUAAGGAGCUAUUAGAGAUGGAAGCUGGCUUACGCAAGGACCGGGAACAGGAUCAAAAGGACGCGCUGAGGUGGGAGCGGGAUCAAAUUGACACACCGAGCUGUUACACAAUGGACCCGAUCCCCUUCUCACUUCAGGACGAGGCGGAGGAGACGGAAUUCACAAAAUCAGACACGGAGGAGAUGGAGAUGGCGGACAAGUUGUUUGCUUUAGGGCGUAAAGGCUGGGAAUCUGCAUGGGGAGACGACUGCGGUAACUUCGAAGACAGCACCGUAUUGAGUCCUAUGCACUUUACACAUUGCACGCCGGGACUGAUCCCGUACGCUGCUCGCACUGUGAGCACCUUGCAAAUCUACUCCGUGAAGAUUGUUGGAACAGAUGGAAAGUUGAAGUUGCCACUCCAUGUUUAUGGGAUUGUCGCUGCCCGAGAUGCCGUGGACUACAACCGCAACAUUCUCUUCUCCCGGCGAAGGGAAAACUGCCAAAAACUCACUCCAGAGGAUCAUUUUUUGCGCUUGACUGGCCCGUCCCGUGCAAUUGUGGCUGUGGACGAUGUUGAUUUCGAAGUCCAACUGAAAGUAAAGGGCUCAUCAAGGUCUCGCGACAGAGCAUUGAUGAGUCACUGCUUUACUUACGCCGGUGGUUACCAUGAAGGUUUACACACCACCUUCUCCAGCAACAGCUUUUGCACAGUAGAGUUUAGCUAUGAGCGACUUACAGAAACAGUCCAGGCUACUAUCUUGAGUGCGCGUGUUGUUGAAGGGGCGCCUUGGCCUUUUGAAUAUGGCGGGCGGAUUAUGUGCUCCUCGCCACCACGGAAAGUUACGGACUCCCUAUCCAGGCAAGUUGUGUUGGUUGAUUCUCGUCAUUCUGAUGGUGGCGGAGAAAUGCCAAUGGGCUUGGAUGGUUUCCUUGAUCUGUCAAGGCAUGUUGUUUCUGUAGAACUUGAAGAAAGCCUGCAGAUUGUCGUACAAGCAUACUCACAGUCUGGUGAUGCUAUUGCUAGACAAGGCAGUGUCAGGUUCAGGACCAAAUACUGCAACAUAAGUCGAGCGAUAUGUGAGAUUGGUGACUCUAAGGUGGAGAUAACUGUCGCUUGGUCCCAACUUGCUAAGCACAAGAGAGAUAUCCUCUUAGAAGGACAUGUUUGA